ensembl:rRNA 5S_rRNA 5S ribosomal RNA
GUUUGCUACUUUGAAUAUGCCUGACCAAGUCUCUUCAGAAGCUAAGCAGGGUCAAGUCAGGUUAGUACUUAGAUGGGAGAAAAUACAGACCGAGAAACU